UGGGCUUGAACUGCUGGCGGUAGAAGCCCGAAAGGGUAACGACCGGAGCAAUCCGGGAGCCAGUAGAGGUGCUGCAUGGCUGUCGUCAGCUCGUGUCGUGAGAUGUUGGGUUAAGUCCCGCAACGAGCGCAACCCUUACCCUUAGUUGCCAGCGGGUAAUGCCGGGCACUCUAAGGGGACCGCCCGGAUAACGGGGAGGAAGGCGGGAUGGACGUCAAGUCAGCAUGGCCCUUAUGUCCAGGGCUACACACGUGCUACAAUGGGCGAUACAGAGGGAAGCAAGGCCGCGAAGGUAGAGCUAAAUCCCUAAAGUCGUCCUCAGUUCGGAUUGCAGGCUGCAACUCACCUGCAUGAAGUCGGAAUCGCUAGUAAUCGCGGAUCAGCUACGCCGCGGUGAAUACGUUCUCGGGCCUU
rnacentral:rRNA from 1 species